rnacentral:lncRNA from 1 species
AUUUUAUUUCACAAAUCAGGUGGUAAUUAAGUUUUAAUAAUUAUAAUUAAUAAAAAUUUAAUUGUAUCUAAUCUACAUAUCCACCUUACCCAAACCCUACCCCUACACACCUACCCACGCACCAUUCAUUUCAAAAUACCUAAAAAAUUUCUCUCUCUCUCUCUCAUCUCUUCCAAGCGCAGAAUCGUCGCUUGCAGCAGCCAAGACUUGCAGCCCUCGACAAAAACAUUGUAUUGUCGCCAUUGCACGGCGUUAAGAGCUAACGCAGAAGACGAUCAGUGAUAGUCAUGACACUUCGACGGCGUUGUGAGGCUGCUGACAGCGAAUUCGAUGACUCGCAGUGCGUGGUGAGGCGCUAAUGAUUUGUGUUGACGAAAAGUGGUGGUGGUGUCAGGAGAGUGUUGACUUUGGAGUGGGCUUUGUUGGCCAACCAGAAUGUAGAGUUGGAGGUACUGAAAGCUUAGGACAGGGCGAGGCACCUCGAACAUUGCUGAGUUUUGAUGAUGGCAUCGUGAAUUUCCUGAUCAUUGGUACCUUAGAUCUGUGUUUAGGACUGUAUUAUAGAUACUUUAACUGAUGAUUAUACAUUUAAAGAGUAUAGUCUUUUGUCUAUAAAAGAGAAGUCAAAGACUAAUAAUUAGAUUGAAUGAUUUAGAAUUGAUUAGACAUUAUCUAAUUAUUGAAGCUUUAUAUAUACU